rnacentral:tRNA from 1 species
UUAGCCGAAACCAAAACAGAGGUAUAUUAUUGUUAAUAAUAAAACUGAAUUAAACGAUUCCGGCUAAA